rnacentral:rRNA from 1 species
GACGAACGCUGGCGGCGUGCUUAACACAUGCAAGUCGAGCGAUGAAGUUUCCUUCGGGAAACGGAUUAGCGGCGGACGGGUGAGUAACACGUGGGUAACCUGCCUCAUAGAGGGGAAUAGCCUUUCGAAAGGAAGAUUAAUACCGCAUAAGAUUGUAGUACCGCAUGGUACAGCAAUUAAAGGAGCAAUCCGCUAUGAGAUGGACCCGCGUCGCAUUGGCUAGUUGGUGAGGUAACGGCUCACCAAGGCGACGAUGCGUAGCCGACCUGAGAGGGUGAUCGGCCACAUUGGGACUGAGACACGGCCCAGACUCCUACGGGAGGCAGCAGUGGGGAAUAUUGCACAAUGGGGAAAACCCUGAUGCAGCAACGCCGCGUGAGUGAUGACGGUCUUCGGAUUGUAAAGCUCUGUCUUUAGGGACGAUAAUGACGGUACCUAAGGAGGAAGCCACGGCUAACUACGUGCCAGCCGCCGCCGUAAGAC